AUUGAACGCUAGCGGCAUGCUUUACACAUGCAAGUCGAACGAGUGGCGGACGGGUGAGUAAUAUCUGGGAACCUGCCCAAUAGCGGGGGAUAACUACUCGAAACGGUAGCUAAUACCGCAUACUAUUGGAUCUGCCCAUAUGGGAUUAGCUAGUUGGUGGGGUAAAGGCUCACCUAGGCGACGAUCCGUAGCUGGUCUGAGAGGAUGACCAGCCACACUGGGACUGAGACACGGCCCAGACUCCUACGGGAGGCAGCAGUGGGGAAUAUUGGACAAUGGGCGAAAGCCUGAUCCAGCCAUGCCGCGUGUAUGAUGAAGGCCUUCGGGUUGUAAAGUACUUUUGGCAGAGAAGCGGUAUCCGCAGAAUAAGCACCGGCUAACUACGUGCCAGCAGCCGCGGUAAUAC
rnacentral:rRNA from 1 species